rnacentral:misc_RNA from 1 species
GAGAAGAACGCAGCGAAAUGCGAUAAGUAAUGUGAAUUGCAGAAUUCAGUGAAUCAUCGAAUCUUUGAACGCACAUUGCGCCCGCCAGAAUUCUGGCGGGCAUGCCUGUUCGAGCGUCAUUUCAACCCUCGGUCUCCCUCCGGGAGAGACCGGCGUUGGGGACCGGCACUUACCCCGCCGGCCCCGAAAUGAAGUGGCGGCCCGUCCGCGGCGACCUCUGCGUAGUAACUCCACUCGCACCGGGACCCGGGCGCGGCCACGCCGUAAAACCCCCAACUUCCGAAUGUUGACCUCGAAUCAGGUAGGAAUACCCGCUGAACUUAAGCAUAUCAAUAAGCGGAGGA